GAUGAACGCUGGCGGCGUGCCUAAUACAUGCAAGUCGAGCGAACAGAUAAGGAGCUUGCUCCUUUGACGUUAGCGGCGGACGGGUGAGUAACACGUGGAUAACCUACCUAUAAGACUGGGAUAACUUCGGGAAACCGGAGCUAAUACCGGAUAACAUAUUGAACCGCAUGGUUCAAUAGUGAAAGGCGGCUUUGCUGUCACUUAUAGAGGGAUCCGCGCCGUAUUAGCUAGUUGGUAAGGUAACGGCUUACCAAGGCAACGAUACGUAGCCGACCUGAGAGGGUGAUCGGCCACACUGGAACUGAGACACGGUCCAGACUCCUACGGGAGGCAGCAGUAGGGAAUCUUCCGCAAAGGGCGAAAGCCUGACGGAGCAACGCCGCGUGAGUGAUGAAGGUCUUCGGAUCGUAAAACUCUGUUAUCAGGGAAGAACAAAUGUGUAAGUAACUGUGCACAUCUUGACGGUACCUGAUCAGAAAGCCACGGCUAACUACGUG
rnacentral:rRNA from 1 species